AGGAGGCGCCGGGGCGGGGACGGGUCGGAGCGGCCAGAGGGCCGGCGGGCCGGGAGCCGCCAGUCCGGCUGCAGCGGGGCCGGCCGGGCGCGGCGCUGCCUCCUCGGCCGCGCGAGCGUGAAGGAGGCGGCCUGAGGGCCGGAGCCGAGCCGGGGCUGGAGCGCGGGGUCUGACCUACCAUAAACAUGGCAACCAGUGCCGUCCCCAGUGACAACCUCCCCACGUACAAGCUGGUGGUGGUGGGAGAUGGGGGUGUGGGCAAGAGUGCCCUCACCAUCCAGUUUUUCCAGAAGAUUUUUGUGCCUGACUACGACCCCACCAUCGAAGACUCCUACCUGAAACACACAGAGAUUGACAAUCAAUGGGCCAUCCUGGACGUUCUGGACACAGCCGGGCAGGAGGAGUUCAGCGCCAUGCGGGAGCAGUAUAUGCGCACGGGGGACGGCUUCCUCAUCGUCUACUCAGUCACGGACAAGGCCAGCUUCGAGCACGUGGACCGCUUCCACCAGCUCAUCCUGCGCGUCAAGGACAGAGAGUCCUUUCCGAUGAUCCUCGUGGCCAACAAGGUCGAUCUGAUGCAUUUGAGGAAAAUCACCAGGGAGCAAGGAAAAGAAAUGGCGACCAAACACAAUAAUCAUCGGACCAGCGGCAGUUCACCGAGCCCUGUUCUAUGCCAGGCCUUGUGCUGGGGAACGAUCACUCCUUACCACCACAUGCUGAGCCCGAGACUUGGGGUGGACACGGCCCUCAACACCUGUCCUCUGGGGGGCCACCUGAGCCAUAUCUGCCGAUUCCGUACAUAGAAACCAGUGCCAAGGACCCACCUCUCAACGUCGACAAAGCCUUCCAUGACCUGGUUAGGGUAAUUAGGUGAGCAUUGCACGCUCCCCCAGAAGCAAGCCCUCUGCAGCAAGGCAACAGAUUCCAGAAAAGAGCCAGAAGAAGAAGAAGAAAACCAAAUGGCGGGGCGACCGGGCCACCGGCACCCACAAACUGCAGUGCGUGAUAUUGUGACGGGCCUGAGGCCCUGGCCACGGUGACCGCGAACUGGCUGGCCCUCGGGGCCCUCCACUGCCUAACCGCGCUGAAAACCAUUUCUAACCACGACCCUCGGCCCAAGGACCUGGCUCAGGAAGGAAGGAAGGGAGGAUGGGCAGGGAGGAGCGAGGCUCCGGCUUUGCCACAAGGGCACAGGCUUUCCCAUGUCUCGAGAGAGACAGGGAAGCAACGCUAAACAGAAGCAGCAUCCAAGCCCCUCACGUUGACUCAACCCGGUUCCUCCCCAUCUCUCUCGGUGGCUGUGUUGUUUCUUUGAAGUACACAGUAUUAGUGUGAUGUGGAAGUGUGUGUCCACAGACAGAGUACCGAACAAGCCAUGAUCCACCCCCCACGCCCUUGCCCCCAGCCCAGAGUGUCUGAGCCUGGGGGGCUUUUGUAGAUUUUUAAAUUAUUUUAGUGAUUAUUAUUUUAUUAAGGGGGUCUGUGCCCACGGACUGGCGGAGCUUCAGGGCUUCAGCAGGCCUCUCUGAGAACAUGUCUGGAAUACUGUUGUUGUUGUUGUUGUUUGUGACUGAGUUUCCCCAGCGGUGCCAAAACUCAGCUCAACAUGCAAGUGGAGGGACCGAGAGCGCAGACGUGAAUGAGGACGGUGGCCGGAGGCCGCGGGAGGAACAGCCCCCUCCCAGCCUCCAGACCAGACAGAAGAGAGAUGCCCUCACCCAGAAGGUUUUACUGUGCCCGAGGGUGCAGGUGUUAGGAAACGGAGUUUUAUUUUGCUGAGCGGAGAGGCUGGGGCGAGCAUGUCUGUUUUCAGAAGGGUUUUCAUGAUCCUGGACAUGCAUGAGUUAGGUCAGCUGACUGGCUUUGCAAAAGCGUCCGUUCACUUGGCCGACAGUGCAGAUUGAGUUCUGUGCUCUCAGGGCUCUGCCGGAUCUGUCUCUUCCUGCUUUCCCACCGUCUGUGCUGCCUCGCGCCUCUUGGACACAAACACGCGGACGUGGGCAUGUAUGUCUCAGCUCGGCCCAGUAAGCUAAUGUGGACGCCAUCCAGAAAGCUCUAGUUCAUGCUGAAUCUUAACCAAAAACCAUCCAAUACUGUCGUUACUAAGACAGCACCAAGACCUGAAGCCAUUUUCCCUUUGAGUCCACUGACUACCACUUCUUAAAGCCCAGUAAAUAAGCAGACCCCGCUAAGCAUUUGCAAACUUAGGAUUCGCUUGCCUUUCUGGCACACACUUUUCUUAGCCUCUUGGAUCUUAACCAUAACAUAUAAUUAAAGGAAAAAGAAAGGUUGGGGUGAUGACAUGGCCCCCAUACCUGUUCCUAUAAGGGGACACUCCCCCAACUUCCUGAAGAUGUCACUUCCUUCUCAGGUGCUGCUGGUGGGAUCCAGAGACUGGCUUUUCCCCAGCCAGGGAGGGUGGACCACAGCGGGUGGACCCCAGGGAGGGCAGCCACGACCACAGUGCCUACCCCUCCAGCAGAAGGUCAGAAGACGAGCUCGUGACCUCAUUUUCCACUGACAAAUCAGAUCACUAGGCAAACCAGAGCAUCCCUAGCAGGUGGCCUGGCUACUCUUUAGAGACAGAAACCCUGAGAAAGUGAACACCCCACGGGACCUGGAGACACCUGGCAUCUUCUCUGGUUUUGAAAGCGUGCUGCGUUCCUAACUCAGCAAGAUCACCAGCACCAGGGGGCCCAGCCGAAGAGCGAUUCUGUGUCGAAUGAAAUCAUUGGGACUUCAGUUAAUUGGAAAAUCAAACUUCUUUAUUUGUCUCAAUGGCCUUUUUUUCCCUGACCCUGAAAGGAAAGAUAACAAAGAUCAGGCACUUCAGAGUGUCCCAAGGUCCUAUAAUGUUAAUGGGCGUUUUAAACACUAACAGGACAAGGCUCUUUCGGACACUUCUGCUCCUCUGAGCCGAGUCUACUGCAGCCCCGUGUGCAAAGGAGAGGAGGAGGCAGUAGCAAGACAAGCAGGAAGAAGUACGGAGGGAGAGGCUUUGCAGCGAAGGAGUGGUGGGGUGGGAAGGGAAGCCGAGCACCCAGGGCAGCGGCCACUGCUGGAAAGCUGCUACUGGGCACGGACCAGCACCAGCACACCCCGGCCCCCUGCCCUCUGCAGAGCCCACAACUCCUUGGCAGCCCUGAGUGGGGAGUCCUGUUGGAGGCAGAUAAGCUGACCUAGAAUGAAGCCCUUAGCCAUAAAGGUAACCAGACACACGGGUUCCAUCUGCUUCUGGCCCCUCCCCCAACACGGGCAGUGCUUCUGCCCACCCCGGCCGCAUCUUCCAGGGCACAGUCCUGCAGUCAGCCCGCACCUCAGCUCCACAGUGCUCGAGGGACAAACUGGUUAAGGAAAGGCCGGCUGCUGCUGAGUCAGGGGUCAGGCUUCAUCUUCCAUGACCUUGUGUUCCCCAGAGGUGAGACAGAUGGAUAACAUUUUUCAAAGACAGUUCUUUGUGUUUUAGGGAACUGUGGGCCCUUGUAGCAGUGGGGGCUUCCAGAUAGGCCAGAAUGGAGUGGACCCUGGGGCAUCCCAGUACAGUAGCUUCUCCAUGGCCACGUGGCAGGGUCAGUUGGAACACCAGUUGGCCACACUACUCCAUGACUGAGGAGUCCAAUGGCACUUGUGUCUUUGGUGACAUUUUGGUGUUUCCACUGGUUUUCCAGACCACCUGAAUAGUGCUACCUUCACAUUCCCUGGAACACACCCUUCCUGAAAUCCCCUCACCCCAUGCCUUUGCCACUAUGUGCUCUCAAAUUUUCUCCCAAAAUUUUGACACCCCCCCAAUUAGAGGGCUACUUUUCUACCCAACAGGCAAUCUUAGCCAUCUUCCCCACCCCUCCAGCUGGGGGCUCUGGCCACUGACUUCUCCUAUACUUGGCCACACGGGGCACUUGGAUGGUUUCUCUUAGGACUUUGACCCCACCUUGUGUUGUUUGCUGUGGAGAGUGCCUGGUGGCCUAGUGUGGCCAAUCUCACUUUCCUAGGAGACAUGACCCACUAACACAUGGCAGCUCUGACCCAAAGGCCCCUGAGACGUGUGACGGUAAAUCUGGAACCACAGACAGAUUCCCUCCAUUAAUCAGCCCAUUGGGUUAGAAACUCCACGUUGGGUUUACAUAGAAUGAAAGAUACUUGAAUUGUUGAGCGCCCGUGAGCGCACAGCUUCUGCUAUCCAGUAUUAACAGAUGGCCGUUGUGAAACGGGAGUGAUGCCUGAGGGUCUCGAUGAUGCUUGAGCCUUUUAUGUAACUUUUUAUUAAGUCUUUGUGUAUCUCAACUCAUUAAUAAAGAAAAGAAGAACA